rnacentral:lncRNA from 1 species
AAAGAACAGGAAGGAUAUGACACUAAGAACUCAUGAAGACCACUUGAAAGAAAAUUCAAGUGAUGAGGACUAUGAUGAUGACUUGGCACUCUUGACAAGAAAGUUUAAAAAAUUAAUAAAAAGGAAUAAAUUUAAAAAUAACACUAAAAGUAAAAUUGAACCCAAGAAAGAACAAGUUAUAUGUUACGAAUACAAGAAGUUAGGAUAUUUCAAAAAUG